GUAUCGGACUCCGUUCAUAGCGAUCCAAUAGCUCGUUUCGACCGGUUCAGCUAUUCUGGAACUACUGGCGCUGACGGAUUUUGAGUUUGAUGCACGAAUUUCGAGAAAAUCCGAAAAUACGUGUUUUAUAUGUAUUUAUGUGUUAUUCCUUCUAUUGGAAAGAAAGUUUGGAUUUUGUCGUGAAUCCGUGGUCGAUCGUGGUGAAACAAAAUCGUAGCUUUGUUGUCUCCGAGGUGCUGAUCGCACUGGUGCAAUC
rnacentral:lncRNA from 1 species